UGGAAUUAUAAGGUUCUAUCUGACAUUUUUGUCAAAAUGGAGUUAUUCACAUAUUCUUAUUCUGUGACAAUUUACAUUAUGUGAUGCUUUUUUUUUGUAAGCUGUGUACAUUUUGGGACUUUUUUUUAGAAAACAAAUAGGGUUCUAUCUACAGAAGUCUAUGGAACGCAAAAACUUUGAAGCUCAAUAUCUCAGAACUGCUCAGAAUGCAGACAGAAACUUAUAAUUCCAAAGUGGCGAGUGGUAAUGAUUUUUGUUACUGUUUGAAUGUGUGUUUGUCUCUGUUAGCAGCUGAGAGUGCAGUGCCACAGCGGGGCUCAGACAGUCAGAGGGCACACAGCCGGUGACAAACUCCCCACACUGCUGUCAGCCCUGUGACAUGGGAACCACCAGGCCUGCGCUCAAUCACGUCUCAAACCGCCCUUCGCUUGUGGAGGUCCCAGAUACCACAAAUUCCUCCAACCCCAGCCGCUGUGAGAACCACAUGAAAAAAACAAGCGACCAGAAUAGCCAGUAUGGCAGGACGCAGCGCUACAGACUGUCUGAAUGCAGCACGGCCGGUCCUUCACAGAGUACAGAGAGCCUCACGGCCAGCAGCUGAGAGGAACACUUUCCCAUGUCGUCAGGGGUCAUGGGAUCAGCCCGCAGGCCGAGCGGCAGUUGCUUUGUCCACACAAGGAUGGUCUGUUUGUGACUGCCAAACUACACAGAGGGAGUGAGAAACACAGAGCAAAAGAGAGAGAGAAUAAAAGAGAAAGACAGAGGCCGCGUAUGCAUAGACUCUUCUCCAUACUAUAACAGUGUCUCUUUAACUAUAGACACAAUAGCCUGGAGAAUCUGCCCAUCUUUUACUUUUGCUGCUUUUAAUAUCUUGAGCAAUAGAUUUUAUUGUUUAGCCCUUGUUAAAAGUAUUGAAAAUAUGGACAUAUUCACACACACACACACACACACACACACACACACACACACACACACACACACACGAACACACACACACACACACACACACACACCACACACACACACACACACACACACAGAGUCAAAAAUCUGCAUAUUAGAAUGAUUUCUGAAGGAUCAUGAAGGUUAAUGGCUACUGAAAAUUCAACUUUACAUCACUGAAUUAAAUGAUACUUUAAAAUAUAUUCAAACAGAAAAUAGUUAUUUUAAAUUAUAAUAUUUUAAAUUAAAUAAUACUGUAAAUAAAUAUAAAUUAAUAUAAAUAAAUAUAAUGUAAAUAUAUAAAUACAUGUUAAAAAAUUGAUGAACAUUAGAGACUUACUGCAAAAUUUUGGCUGGCAAUGUAUAUAUUAUAUAUACAAUAUUAUGCUGUACUGUAAAAUACUGUAAAUAUACAUUAGAAUUGUUUUUAAAUUAAGAUACAUACAU
ensembl:lncRNA